AUAGGGUAAUCAUGGCAGGAUAGGAUAAAUGCUUGGAUUAAUGUGGUAACCUCCAGCCGAAACUCCUCAUUAUCUGUUUCAACGCACUCAACCAGACCUCUUACCUUCUACCCAUUCUCACUCCUCUCCCACAACCACCCACUCAAUACACUUCACCCCUCUAACACCAACCUACUUACUCUCCCCCAGCUCAAUUCUCUCAUUAUUGACCCCUAGCUAGCAUGGAGAGUGAUGCCCACCCAAAAAAAAGUCACUGGGCCACAAGAGACAGGCAAAUUCAACAACAACGGCCAACUCUUGCUGAGUGAAUGCACCAAAUAGCACCUCGUGAACAACAAACACCAGUUUCCAUAUGCCAAACAAAAGAACAACAUCCCGGAUGUAGCCACGGUCUAAACAGUGGUAUGUCAUCGACUUAGAGUAAGGAAGAGAGACCUUAAGGAUGUCCAGAUCACAGCAGAAUGUUGCAAGGACCACUGUCUGAUAUGCUCCAAACUCACACUGAAGUUACAACUGUCUGGCCGAGUAAUGGCCUCUAAGCCGCCAAGAUAGCUAGAUGUCGAGCUCCUGAAGAACAAGGACAUCCGCAAAGAGCUCUGCGGCUGUAUUUAAACAGCCCCGCUGAAAAAGGAAUCUCCAACCACAAUCCCCAAAGCAAACACAGGAUGGGCAGUUCUCCAUGUUACUGUCUAUCAGGCAGAUGUUAAGACAUUGGGGAAAGCCAAGUGGAGUCAACAAUGCAAAUGACUCAGAGAAAGAAAGAUUACUGCUACUUGCAACAAAUCGAGCCCCACAAGGACAUCUUGCAGUAACUCAUGACUCAGAGCAAGGAUGUUCAAAGAAUUUGGAUCAAAGGCUACUUAGGAAUACCUGAGACACGAAGAAAGCUCCAUACCAAGUCUUUCUGGCCAGCUAUCAAGUGAACAGCAGCAUUGUGUUCCGGGCACUGUACUGAGCACGAGGGGUUGAAAGAAGACAAGCAAGCUGGACACAGCAGCUAUAUCACAUGGGGCCCACAGCCCAAUCAGGAAGGAGAACAGGUUCUGAAUCCCCAUUCCACAGACAAGGAAACCGAGGCCCAGAGACAUUACACGACUUGCCACGGUCACGCAACAGACCGGGACCAGAACCCACAUCCUCCGACUCCCAGGUCUGUGUUCUUUCCACUACGUUAUGGA